AAAUAUUAAGAAAUACAGUAUUCUUACACAGUUACUCAUUCUUAGUAAACUCUGUGGGACCGAGUUACAUUAUAAUCCCAUGUUCCUUGGUUCAUAUAAUCAUUCACUCAAUGACAGGUUUAUUUUGCAUCCCUGUCCUGUAUAGCACUGUGCUGGAAUAUGUUGUUUUCUCGAACCUUUCGUUUCUUGAUUCUUUCCUUAGAACCUACACAGAAAGUUCUCUUUUCCAGCAUUGCGUGUCUUAGAAUCUUCCCUGCAGACUGCCUCUAAGAGGCAGUCUGAAGUGCCUUACCUAAAAUCUUCAGGGGUAGAUAUAUUUGUGAACUCAUAUUUGUUAAUUUUAGGAAAAUAUGUGUUUGCAUGUAUGUGUGACAUAAUGCCGUAAAGGAUUUCUAAAUAUUCAUCCAUAAAAAUUUCUAAAUAUUCAAAUCAGAGAUUAAUAAAGCGAGCCCUACAAGAGGAACAAGGAAAAGGAUUUUAGUGAAGGUAUCCUGAUCCUGAAAAAGUCAGGGAGGGCUUCAAGCCCAUCUUGGACUGCAGAGCACUUCACAACUUUGUGGCAAGAAAAUUACAUGUGGAAUUGGGCUACCUUUCAAAGGAAGAUAUACCUGGGUUUCAGA